rnacentral:rRNA from 1 species
GACGAACGCUGGCGGCGUGCUUAACACAUGCAAGUCGAACGGAAAGGCCCUGCUUUUGUGGGGUGCUCGAGUGGCGAACGGGUGAGUAACACGUGAGUAACCUGCCCUUGACUUUGGGAUAACUUCAGGAAACUGGGGCUAAUACCGGAUAGGAGCUCCUGCUGCAUGGUGGGGGUUGGAAAGUUUCGGCGGUUGGGGAUGGACUCGCGGCUUAUCAGCUUGUUGGUGGGGUAGUGGCUUACCAAGGCUUUGACGGGUAGCCGGCCUGAGAGGGUGACCGGCCACAUUGGGACUGAGAUACGGCCCAGACUCCUACGGGAGGCAGCAGUGGGGAAUAUUGCACAAUGGGCGGAAGCCUGAUGCAGCAACGCCGCGUGCGGGAUGACGGCCUUCGGGUUGUAAACCGCUUUCGCCUGUGACGAAGCGUGAGUGACGGUAAUGGGUAAAGAAGCACCGGCUAACUACGUGCCAGCAGCCGCGGUGAUACGUAGGGUGCGAGCGUUGUCCGGAUUUAUUGGGCGUAAAGGGCUCGUAGGUGGUUGAUCGCGUCGGAAGUGUAAUCUUGGGGCUUAACCCUGAGCGUGCUUUCGAUACGGGUUGACUUGAGGAAGGUAGGGGAGAAUGGAAUUCCUGGUGGAGCGGUGGAAUGCGCAGAUAUCAGGAGGAACACCAGUGGCGAAGGCGGUUCUCUGGGCCUUUCCUGACGCUGAGGAGCGAAAGCGUGGGGAGCGAACAGGCUUAGAUACCCUGGUAGUCCACGCUGUAAACGGUGGGUACUAGGUGUGGGGUCCAUUCCACGGGUUCCGUGCCGUAGCUAACGCUAUAAGUACCCCGCCUGGGGAGUACGGCCGCAAGGCUAAAACUCAAAGGAAUUGACGGGGCCCCGCACAAGCGGCGGAGCAUGCGGAUUAAUUCGAUGCAACGCGUAGAACCUUACCUGGGUUUGACAUGGAUCGGGAGUGCUCAGAGAUGGGUGUGCCUCUUUUGGGGUCGGUUCACAGGUGGUGCAUGGCUGUCGUCAGCUCGUGUCGUGAGAUGUUGGGUUAAGUCCCGCAACGAGCGCAACCCUUGUUCACUGUUGCCAGCACGUUAUGGUGGGGACUCAGUGGAGACCGCCGGGGUCAACUCGGAGGAAGGUGGGGAUGACGUCAAGUCAUCAUGCCCCUUAUGUCCAGGGCUUCACGCAUGCUACAAUGGCUGGUACAGAGAGUGGCGAGCCUGUGAGGGUGAGCGAAUCUCGGAAAGCCGGUCUCAGUUCGGAUUGGGGUCUGCAACUCGACCUCAUGAAGUCGGAGUCGCUAGUAAUCGCAGAUCAGCAACGCUGCGGUGAAUACGUUCCCGGGGCU